UACGGAGGGGACUAGCGUUGUUCGGAAUUACUGGGCGUAAAGCGCACGUAGGCGGAUUUGUAAGUCAGGGGUGAAAUCCCGGGGCUCAACCUCGGAACUGCCUUUGAUACUGCAAAUCUCGAGUCCGGAAGAGGUGAGUGGAAUUCCUAGUGUAGAGGUGAAAUUCGUAGAUAUUAGGAAGAACACCAGUGGCGAAGGCGGCUCACUGGUCCAUUACUGACGCUGAGGUGCGAAAGCGUGGGGAGCAAACAGGG
rnacentral:rRNA from 1 species